GAUGAACGCUGGCGGCGUGCCUAAUACAUGCAAGUCGAGCGAAGCGGGGACGGGUGAGUAACACGUGGAUAACCUCCUAUAAGACUGGGAUAACUUCGUGAAACCGGAACUAAACCGGAUACUUAUCGAAGGCUCCGCGUUGCAUUAGCUAGUAGGUAAGGUAACGGCUUACCAAGGCAACGAUGCAGAGCCGACCUGAGAGGGUGAGCGGCCACACUGGAAAUGAGACACGGUCCAGACUCCUACGGGAGGCAGCAGUGGGGAAUCUUCCGCAAUGGGCGAAAGCCUGACGGAGCCACGCCGCGUGAGUGAUGAAGGUCUUCGGAUCGUAAAACUCUUUUAUUAGGGAAGCGGUACCUAAACAGAAAGCCCCGGCUAACUCCGUGCCAGCAGCCGCGGUAAUAC
rnacentral:rRNA from 1 species